rnacentral:rRNA from 1 species
CCUACGGGAGGCAGCAGUGAGGAAUAUUGGUCAAUGGCCGUAAGGCUGAACCAGCCAAGUCGCGUGAGGGAAGAAGGCACUAUGUGUCGUAAACCUCUUUUGUCAGGGGAUAAAGGUGUCCACGUGUGGAUAUUUGCAGGUACCCUAUGAAUAAGGACCGGCUAAUUCCGUGCCAGCAGCCGCGGUAAUACGGAGGGUUCGGGCGUUAUCCGGAUUUAUUGGGUUUAAAGGGUGCGUAGGUCGGUCUUUAAGUUGGCCGUGAAAGUUUGUGGCUCAACCAUGAGAGUGCCGUGGAAACUGGAGACCUUGAGUGUGUGUAAGGCAGGCGGAAUGCGUGGUGUAGCGGUGAAAUGCAGAGAUAUCACGAAGAACUCCGAUUGCGAAGGCAGCUUGC